rnacentral:rRNA from 1 species
AGCAGCCGCGGUAAUUCCAGCUCCAAUAGCGUAUAUUAAAGUUGUUGCAGUUAAAAAGCUCGUAGUUGAAUUUCGGGGUUAGUAGAUUGGUCAUGCCUCUGGUAUGCACUGGUCUCACUGAUUCCUCCUUCCUGAUGGACCGUAAUGCCAUUAAUUUGGUGUUGCGGGGAAACUGGACUGUUACUUUGAAAAAAUUAGAGUGUUUAAAGCAGGCUAACGCUUGAAUACAUUAGCAUGGAAUAAUGAAAUAGGACGUUCGAUCUUAUUUUGUUGGUUUCUAGGAUUGACGUAAUGAUUAAUAGGGAUAGUUGGGGGCAUUAGUAUUCAAUUGUCAGAGGUGAAAUUCUUGGAUUUAUUGAAGACUAACUACUGCGAAAGCAUUUGCCAAGGAUGUUUUCAUUAAUCAAGAACGAAGGUUAGGGGAUCGAAGACGAUCAGAUACCGUCGUAGUCUUAACCAUAAACUAUGCCGACUAGGGAUCGGAUGAUGUUAAUUUUUUAAUGACUCA